AAUGAACGCUGGCGGCGUGCCUAACACAUGCAAGUCGUACGAGAAAGGGGCUUCGGCCCUGAGUAGAGUGGCGCACGGGUGAGUAACGCGUGGGUAAUCUGCCCUUGGAUUUGGGAUAACUCUGCGAAAGUGGAGCUAAUACCGGAUGGACUGGCUUUGUAAUGAUAAGUCGGUAAAGGAUGCCUCUGCAUAUGCAUUCGUCCGAGGAUGAGCCCGCGUCUCAUUAGCUAGUUGGUAGGGUAAUGGCCUACCAAGGCAACGAUGAGUAGCUGGUCUGAGAGGAUGAUCAGCCACACUGGAACUGAAACACGGUCCAGACUCCUACGGGAGGCAGCAGUGGGGAAUAUUGCGCAAUGGGCGAAAGCCUGACGCAGCAACGCCGUGUGAGGGAUGAAGGCUUUCGGGUCGUAAACCUCUGUCAGAAGGGAAGAACGGGUGAGGGUCUAACAGGCCUUUAUUUUGACGGUACCUUCAGAGGAAGCACCGGCUAACUCCGUGCCAGCCGCCGCAGUAAGAC
rnacentral:rRNA from 1 species